GAUGAACGCUGGCGGCGUGCCUAAUACAUGCAAGUCGAGCGAACGGACGAGAAGCUUGCUUCUCUGAUGUUAGCGGCGGACGGGUGAGUAACACGUGGAUAACCUACCUAUAAGACUGGGAUAACUUCGGGAAACCGGAGCUAAUACCGGAUAAUAUUUUGAACCGCAUGGUUCAAAAGUGAAAGACGGUCUUGCUGUCACUUAUAGAUGGAUCCGCGCUGCAUUAGCUAGUUGGUAAGGUAACGGCUUACCAAGGCAACGAUGCAUAGCCGACCUGCGAGGGUGAUCGGCCACACUGGCACUGAGACACGGUCCAGACUCCUACGGGAGGCAGCAGUAGGGAACCUUCCGCAAUGGGCGAAAGCCUGACGGAGCAACGCCGCGUGAGUGAUGAAGGUCUUCGGAUCGUAAAACUCUGUUAUUAGGGAAGAACAUAUGUGUAAGUAACUGUGCACAUCUUGACGGUACCUAAUCAGAAAGCCACGGCUAACUACGUG
rnacentral:rRNA from 1 species